rnacentral:rRNA from 1 species
UACGGAGGGAGAUAGCGUGGGUCGGAAUUACUGGGCGUAAAGCGCACGGAGGCGGAUAUUUAAGUCAGGGGUGAAAUCCCGCAGCUCAACUGCGGAACUGCCUUUGAUACUGGGUAUCUUGAGUAUGGAAGGGGUAAGUGGAAUUCCGAGUGUAGAGGUGAAAUUCGUAGAUAUUCGGAGGAACACCAGUGGCGAAGGUGGCUUAUGGGCCCAUUAUUGACCCUGAGGUGUGAAAGCGUGUGGAGCAAACAGG